ACCCAUGUGGCUCAGUUGGUAGAGCAUGGUGUUUGCAACGCCAGGGUUGUGGGUUCGAUUCCCACGGGGUA
rnacentral:tRNA from 1 species